AUCAGGUUAUUCAUUAAAGUGAGAAUUGUUGAUAGUUGAAAGAAUUUAAGAUUUAUGUCCAAAGUUACCAAUUUGGAAACCUGGCUGACUAGUUGAAUAUUUACAGAAAUGUUAUAUUCUCCCUUUAAUGACUGAACCCGGUAUGUUUCAGUGAUGGAGUGAAGGUGUAAUGUUUUCGGAAUUAAGCUGCGGCGGGUUGGUGGCUGGGAGCAGUUUAUGGAACGGUGGAUGGUUGACUGUAAGCGGUGUGUUGGCUGGCUGGGAGUAGUGGCUGGCUGGGAGUAGUGGCAGUCUUGGAGCGGUGUGUGGCUGGCUGGGAGCGGUGUGUGGCUGGCUGGGAGUAGUGGCAGUCUGUGAGCGGUGUGUGGCUGGCUGGGAGUAGUGGCAGUCUGGGAGCGGUGUGUGGCUGGCUGUGAGUAGAGGCAGUCUGUGAGAGGUGUGUGGCUGGCUGGGAGUAGUGGCAGUCUGGGAGCGGUGUGUGGCUGGCUG